UACAACUACAACAACAACUACACCUGCAAUACCGCUUAAAAUUACGUUGUUAACCAUAUCCUUCAAACUGAAUGAUAUUUUCACAGCUGACUUAAUGAAUGAAAGUAGUUCCAAAUAUUUAAAGUAUAAAAACGAUAUUCAACCAGUUAUCCAGGCACAGUAUCAGAGUAACCUUCCAGGGUUUAUUUCAGCAGCACUGACAGGUUUUGGACCCGGAAGUGUUAUAGUCGGCUUUUCAGUUCUGACCACAGGUGCAAACCAAACUGAAAUUAAUAACGCCAAUAAUGGACUUGCAACAUCAC